UGUGUAGGCGGUCCUCUAAGUUUGGUGUGAAAUCUCCCGGCUCAACUGGGAGGGUGCGCUGAAAACUGGAGGGCUAGAGUGCGGGAUGGGAAAGUGGAAUUCCUGGUGUAGCGGUGAAAUGCGUAGAUAUCAGGAGGAACACCUGUGGUGUAGACGGCUUUCUGGACCGCAACUGACGCUGAGACACGAAAGCGUGGGUAGCAAACAGGAUUAGAUACCCUGGUAGUCCACGCCCUAAACGAUGCAUAUUUGGUGUGGGCCAUUCAUUUGGUCCGUGCCGGAGCUAACGCGUUAAAUAUGCCGCCUGGGGAGUACGGUCGCAAGGCUGAA
rnacentral:rRNA from 1 species